AUUGAACGCUGGCGGCAGGCCUAACACAUGCAAGUCGAGCGGAUGAAGGGAGCUUGCUCCUGGAUUCAGCGGCGGACGGGUGAGUAAUGCCUAGGAACCUGCCUGGUAGUGGGGGAUAACGUCCGGAAAUGGGCGCGAAUACCGCAUACGUCCUGAGGGAGAAAGUGGGGGAUCUUCGGACCUUACGCUAUCAGAUGAGCCUACGUGGGAUUAGCUAGUUGGUGGGGUAAAGGCCUACCAAGGCGACGAUCCGGAACUGGUCUGAGAGGAUGAUCAGUCACACUGGAACUGAGACACGGUCCAGACUCCUACGGGAGGCAGCAGUGGGGAAUAUUGGACGAUGGGCGAAAGCCUGAUCCAGCCAUGCCGCGUGUGUGAAGAAGGUCUUCGGAUUGUAAAGCACUUUCAGUUGGGAGGAAGGGCAGUAAGUUAAUACCUUGCUGUUUUGACGUUACCAACAGAAUAAGCACCGGCUAACUUCGUG
rnacentral:rRNA from 1 species